rnacentral:misc_RNA from 1 species
ACACCUCAACUCUUGUGGUUUCCCACAAUGAGCUUGGACCAUGGAGGUUUUUGUUGGCCCUCUGGUCAGCUCCUCUCAAAUGGAUCAGCUUACCGGUGUUUGGUGGCAUCAUGGGUGUGAUAACUAUCUACGCUUGUGGUCGUCUCCAAAUAACCUCCAGUGAUGGAGGUUCGCUGGAGCUUAUAAACGUCUCUCCCCAGUGAAGACAGCCUUUGAAC